AGGAAGGCUCUUGGGUCGUAAACCUCUUUUCUCAGGGAAGAACACAAUGACGGUACCUGAGGAAUAAGCAUCGGCUAACUCCGUGCCAGCAGCCGCGGUAAUACGGAGGAUGCAAGCGUUAUCCGGAAUGAUUGGGCGUAAAGCGUCCGCAGGUGGCGAUGUAAGUCUGCUGUUAAAGCGUCUAGCUCAACCAGAUAAGAGCAGUGGAAACUACAUAGCUAGAGUGCGUUCGGGGCAGAGGGAAUUCCUGGUGUAGCGGUGAAAUGCGUAGAGAUCAGGAAGAACACCAGUGGCGAAGGCGCUCUGCUAGGCCGUAACUGACACUGAGGGACGAAAGCUAGGGGAGCGAAUGGGAUUAAAUA
rnacentral:rRNA from 1 species